CGCGCAGGUGGGUGUACAAGUCGGAAGUGAAAUCUCGAGGCUCAACCUCGAGGCUGCUCCCGAAACUGUACGCCUAGGGACUGGUAGAGGCUGGUAGAAUUCCCGGUGUAGCGGUGGAAUGCGUAGAGAUCGGGAAGAAUACCUGUGGCGAAGGCGGCCAGCUGGGCCAGAUCCGACACUGAGGCGCGAAAGCGUGGGGAGCAAACAGGAUUAGAUACCCUGGUAGUCCACGCCGUAAACGAUGGGCACUAGGCGCUGGUGGGAGCGACCCCUUCAGUGCCGUAGCUAACGCGAUAAGUGCCCCGCCUGGGGAGUACGGCCGCAAGGCUGAA
rnacentral:rRNA from 1 species